GUGUUCGGGCAUGUAUUCGUCGUAGGUUCAAGAGUGAACGUCAUAGAGAUAAGGAAGUGUGUUCGGGCAU
rnacentral:pre_miRNA from 1 species